rnacentral:rRNA from 1 species
UGAUGAAUUUUGGACAAUGGACGCAAGUCUGAUCCAGCCAUGCCGCGUGCGGGAAGAAGGCCUUCGGGUUGUAAACCGCUUUUGUCAGGGAAGAAAAGGCUCCGGAUAAUACCUGGGGCUCAUGACGGUACCUGAAGAAUAAGCACCGGCUAACUACGUGCCAGCAGCCGCGGUAAUACGUAGGGUGCAAGCGUUAAUCGGAAUUACUGGGCGUAAAGCGUGCGCAGGCGGUUUUGUAAGACAGAGGUGAAAUCCCCGGGCUCAACCUGGGAACUGCCUUUGUGACUGCAAGGCAGGAGUGCGGCAGAGGGGGAUGGAAUUCCGCGUGUAGCAGUGAAAUGCGUAGAUAUGCGGAGGAACACCGAUGGCGAAGGCAAUCCCCUGGGCCUGCACUGACGCUCAUGCACGAAAGCGUGGGGAGCAAACA